GACAAGUCCCCUCGUCACGACAACACUGCCUACUGUAGUACUACGACCGACUCUGCUAUAGUGAGUGAUCGAUGAAAUGUCAGCUGUCAUGAUAAAGCUAAAUUGAAAGGCCGAAUGAAAGUUGAAGCAACAAAGCAAGUAGUUUCUAAAAUAUUGAAUUCGAUAAAUAAUCUUGGAGAAUUAUCUCUAUAAUUACGUAGAUACGCGAUCAGCUAUACAGUUCAAUCAAGUUCAACCGUUCAUAUAAAUGCGUUAUAUUUCUCGAUUUAAAGAACGGUUGUAACACAGGGACAGUUAAAUUCAACGCCAUCCUUGGCUCAUGUAUGGGUCACCAAAUAUG